UUUGAUUCUGGCUCAGGAUGAACGCUGGCGGUAUGCCUUAUACAUGCAAGUCGUACGAGAGUUUUUAACUCAAGUGGCGGACGGGUGAGUAACGCGUAAGAAUUUGCCUUUAGGAGGGGGAUAACAACUGGAAACGGUUGCUAAUACCCCAUAUGCUUUCGAGUGAAACGGAUUUCCGCCUAAAGAGAAGCUUGCGUCUGAUUAGCUUGUUGGUAAGGUAAUGGCUUACCAAGGCGACGAUCAGUAUCUGGUUUGAGAGGACGAUCAGACACACUGGAACUGAGACACGGUCCAGACUCCUACGGGAGGCAGCAGUAGGGAAUUUUCCGCAAUGGGCGAAAGCCUGACGGAGCAAUACCGCGUGAGGGAUGAAUGCCUAUGGGUUGUAAACCUCUUUUUUCAGGGAGGAACAAAAUGACGUGUACCUGAAGAAUAAGCAUCGGCUAACUCCGUGCCAGCAGCCGCGGUAAGACGGAGGAUGCAAGUGUUAUCCGGAAUCACUGGGCGUAAAGCGUCUGUAGGUGGUCCAAUAAGUCAACUGUUAAAUCUUGAGGCUCAACCUCAAAAUCGCAGUCGAAACUAUUAGACUAGAGUAUAGUAGGGGUAAAGGGAAUUUCCAGUGGAGCGGUGAAAUGCGUAGAUAUUGGAAAGAACACCGAUGGCGAAGGCACUUUACUGGGCUAUUACUAACACUCAGAGACGAAAGCUAGGGUAGCAAAUGGGAUUAGAUACCCCAGUAGUCCUAGCUGUAAAUAAUGGAUACUAGAUGUUGAACAGAUCGACCUGUGCAGUAUCAAAGCUAACGCGUUAAGUAUCCCGCCUGGGAAGUAUGCUCGCAAGAGUGAAACUCAAGGAAUUGACGGGGCCCGCACAAGCGGUGGAGCAUGUGGUUUAUUCGAUGCA
rnacentral:rRNA from 1 species